AUUGAACGCUGGCGGCAGGCCUAACACAUGCAAGUCGAACGAGUGGCGGACGGGUGAGUAAUGUCUGGGAAACUGCCCGAUGGAGGGGGAUAACUACUGGAAACGGUAGCUAAUACCGCAUACUAUCGUAUGUGCCCAGAUGGGAUUAGCUAGUAGGUGGGGUAACGGCUCACCUAGGCGACGAUCCCUAGCUGGUCUGAGAGGAUGACCAGCCACCCUGGAACUAGGACCCGGUCCAGACGCCUACGGUAGGCAGCAGUGGGUAAUAUUGCACAAUGGGCGCAAGCCUGAUGCAGCCAUGCCGCGUGUAUGAAGAAGGCCUUCGGGUUGUAAAGUACUUUCAUCGAGGAGGCGUUACUCGCAGAAGAAGCACCGGCUAACUCCGUGCCAGCAGCCACGGGAAUUC
rnacentral:rRNA from 1 species